rfam:Streptomyces toyocaensis strain NRRL 15009 contig00005, whole genome shotgun sequence.
UGGCAUCACCUUCCUACUCGGAUCGUCCGGCACGUUCCUGCCGGUAGAAGGGGACCAUU